UCCGAAUUGGUGUAGUGGCUAACAUUUGACGCUCUCAUCUCAUCUUCUCACAUAUCGUGGGGAGGCAAGUCAGGUCCGUCAAGCCCGGGGUUCGAUUCCCCGAUUCGGAG